CUUUACUGGAAGAUGCCAGUGAGGAGAAUGAGGAUGUCAAGGGCCAUUUCGGUUCUGAGAGGUGCCAGCUCUGCCAGCAGUCAUUGAUUCUGCUUUUGAAGACCUUCUGACCAAGAAAUUAUACUUCUUCUCAGGAGCCAGUUCUGGUAGUUACACGGGCAGAGUGUGCUGGGACCCCGCAGUAUAACAAAACUUGGAUUACCAGCAGCAUUGAGAAGGUGGAGGGGCUCGCAGAGAGGAAAAGGCAAAGUGUGCUCUUCAGUGGGGAGAACUUCUGGAGGCUGGAUGGAAGGCACAGAACAUUGAACAGAGGGUACCGCGAUACACAGACUCCAUUUUGGUGGCGUCCCCAUUGAUGCACAUGAUGUUUUCCUGUACAAAGGUCGCAUGUACUUCUGUCACGAUCGCUUCUACUGGCGUGUGAAUUCCCGCAGGCAGGUGGAUCGUGUGGGUUAUGUGAAGUACGACCUCCUCAGCUGCUCUGAUUCCCCAAGAGUUUCCUACUGAGAAAUCACCACAGGGUUGAGCUGAAAUAAUAGAUUGUGUAGGAAGUGACUUGUCUCUCCUGGGUGAAGAGGAAGCGGUAUCAGUAUUUGUGUAAAAUGGCUGUUGUAAUGAUGUCUGCUUUCUGGCAUGUGAGUACUUAUAGGCAUCAUUUGUUUCAGCAAUUUGUAGCUUUGGCCUGCAAAUCUUUCAAAGGCUAAAUUCAGGAAAGCCAACUGUGUUCUUUGGUACUGUCCUGCUCGCAGUACUGUAUUCUGUGAACAGAAGAGUUGCAGCGGCCUAAAAUUUGAGACCCAUAGCCACAAUUUAAAUUACUUCAAGAGCUAUGACUGUCUGGAUCAGAUUCCAGAUUAUCACAGUAAUUUGUCUGACAGGUUCAGACUCAUAUCAGGAUUAGAAUAUUCUUGUAUUUAUAGCAAUAUCUAUAUGUUGUGUUUUAAUGCUUGUUGGUUUUGUAUAGGUCUGUGUAUUUUUGAAAAAUACUGUAAAUUCCGUAAAAGCCACUUAUUUGCACUGGACAAAACUCCAUGUUCCUUCACUGAAAUAAUUUAUGAAACUGAUAUAUUUUGUAUUGAAUUUCUGAAAGCUUAAUGCAAUAAACAUUCUGUGAGAACAACA